rnacentral:ncRNA from 2 species
ACACAUGAUGUCAUUUCGUAUUCUGCAAUACUGACAAUAACUUGAGCGAGACAAGACAUAUUUGACUACUGGCAACUGAAAC